CCUGUGUUCGAAGGUCUGCACUGGAGGAAGAUAGCGUGUGGUGUUCACAGUCUUGACAGCGCAAGAGUGUGACAAGUCUACUCUGUACACUAAUCUGAACUCAAAUGAGAAAAUAGAAAAUCCCAGGUUUCAAAAAGAUUUGAAAUAAAGCCUAUACACUCAGUUAUUUUUCAGAUACAUUGAGCCUUCACAGCAAUCAGAUCGAGGCUGCUGUGAGAGGAUGAGCUAACGGCGGGAGAGGAGCGGGAGCGGAGCCUGCUGAUUGGUGCGUGCGAGCGUGCCAGCGUGCGUGAGACGGAGAAGCCGGCGCGGUGAAGAUGGCCUGCCGAGCCUCGUCGCAGCGCCCCCUGCUGUUCCUCGCCUUCGUGACGGCUCUGUGGGGGUUCCCCUUCAGGCCCUCCCUCGACUUGGACGUCACCCCCAGGAUUACGGUCUUCUCCAAUGGGCUGCUGGGCUGUCGGCGUUUCAGCGGCGGCGCUCUGAACUACAGCACCCUGCUGCUGGAGGACGGCGCGGGCGUCCUGUACGUGGGGGCCAGGGGCGUGGUCUUCGCCCUGGACGCCAGCGACAUCGCCGCCCCCGGCAACAACCUGACCAUUGAGUGGGAGGCGUCGGCAGAGCAGAAGAGGCAGUGCUUAAACAAAGGGAAGGACAAUCAGACCCAGUGCUACAAUCACAUCAGAUUUCUCCAGAGGUACAACGAGACGCACUUGUACGUCUGUGGAACGCACGCCUUCAGACCCCUCUGUGCCUACAUAGAUGCAGAGCACUUCAGGUUCUCCUCUGCUUUUGAGGAGGGGCGGGAGAAGUGCCCCUACGACCCGGCCAAGGGCUACACUGGACUCCUCGUAGAUGGUGAGAUGUACACAGCCUCCCAGUACGAGUUUCGCAGCUCACCCGACAUUCGACGUAACAUCCCGUACCCCAUUGUGAAGACAGAGGAGGCGCCUACCCGCUGGCUGCUUGAGGCUGAUUUUGUGGGGUCAACACUGGUGAGAGAGAGCAUAAACAGCUCAAUUGGGGACGAUGACAAGAUCUACUUCUUCUUCACCGAGAAGAGCCAGGAGUCAACGCCGUACUUCAGCCAGACCAAGGUGGCCAGAGUGGCUCGGGUUUGCAAGAGCGACUGGGGGGGCCAGAGGACGCUCCAGAGGAAGUGGACGUCCUUCCUGAAGGCCCGGUUGGUCUGCUCCGUCCCCGACUACGACUUCCACCUGAACGUGCUGCGCAGUGUGUUCGUGGUGGAGGGCCAGAGCCCGCAGAACACCGUCUUCUACGGAGUCUUUGGCCUGGAAUGGAAAAAUGUCAAAGCGUCUGCUGUGUGCCAGUACUCCAUUGCGGAUGUGCAGAAGGCUUUCGAGGGCUCCUAUGUGGAGAGCCAGGACUCCUCUCAGAAAUGGGCAGAAUACAGAGGGAAGGUUCCGGAACCCAGACCAGGCUCGUGCAUCACCAACCGCUUCCGAGCCAAAGGCUUCAACUCGUCCUUCGACCUGCCCGACGACGUGCUGAACUUCGUGAGGAGGCACCCGCUGAUGUUUCAGCAGGUCCGACCCCGGGAGAACCGCCCCCUGCUGUUCAAGAGGAGCGUGGACUACACCAAGAUCGCCGUUCACCGGGUGGCCGCCCUGGACGGCCGGCCGUACGACGUCCUUUUCGUCGGCACAGAUGAAGGCUGGCUUCACAGAGCUGUGGAAAUCGGGGGUCAGGUGCACGUCAUAGAGGAGCUGCAGCUGUUUGAGGAUCCGCAGCCAAUCGACACCAUGGUCAUUUCCCGGGAACAGAGGAGCAUCUACGUGGGCUCCGCCUCUGGAGUUCUCCAGCUGCCCCUGUCCACCUGUCACCGGUACGCCUCCUGUUUCGACUGCGUCUUUGCGCGGGACCCCUUCUGCGGCUGGGACGGCUCAGGGUGUGUGGAGAUCGCGUCUGUGACGGACAGAUCCAGUCUUACCCAGGACAUUGUUAAUGGAAACAGAGGGUGCGAGUCUGACACAGGAGAAGAUGCAGUAGUCCACCGCACGCGCUCAGUGAUGGAGGGGGAUGAUGUGCUCCUGCAAUGUGAACUCCAGUCCAACCUGGCCUCCCCACAGUGGACAUUGGACGGCAGAGAGCUGCAGGGUUAUGGGCUCAACUCGGGGUAUCGCGUCGGCAACGAUGGCCUGCUCAUUAUUGGGGCCCGCGUCGAGCAGAGUGGCCACUACCGCUGCUUCGCUGUGGAGAACCAGGUCCAGGUGCUAGCGGCCAGCUACACCAUCACGGUCCGGCCCGACUCGCCUCCCCCGACCCCGCCUUCGGGCGCUAAACGUACCACCACUACUAUGAAGAUGAGCCGCCCUUCCUCACCCACGCCCCUUCCCCCCACCAGCAACCCUACCGAACAGCCCCUUCCCUCUCCACCCUCUCCCCCUGCCCCCUUGCCUGCUGGCCCGGAGUUCCAGACCUACAGGAACAUGGAGGUCAUGUACAUCUCCCUAGUGGUGAUUCUGGGCGGGCUCUGUGUGGUGCUGUCGGUGGUCCUGCUCUACGUGGCCUUCUGCGUGCAGGGACGGAGGCGAGGCAGAAAGUACUCCCUGCAGGGCCUCCGGCUCGACAGGAAGAGGAGCUCCCACAUGGAGCUCAAGACCGUCUCCAGCCACUGCAACGGAAAGAGGGAGGGUCCGGGCGCCAGGGGCAGCGGCGACGGUGGGGACACCCCCGACGGGCUCCUGCAGAUAGUGCCGGGCGAGGGCCAGGCGUCGCCCAACAAGGACUCCUCCCCGCCCACGCCAGCGCCCCCGCUCCCACAGCCCCCUCCCCUGCCCACCUCCGAGUACGUCAACGGGCUUUCGGCCACCCUGCCCAGCGUCCUGCGCAAGAUGAACGGGAACAGCUACGUGCUCCUGCGGCAGGCCGACGCGGAGACCACCUCACCGCUCUACCACUCGUUCACAGAGGAGCUCAACAAGAUCCUGGAGAAGCGGAAGCACAACCAGCUGGUGACCAAGCCGGACGAGAGCUCUGUGUAGCUCCACCCUGUGGUGGGAAGGUCUCACUGCUUGCCCAAGUGCCUGAGGGCCUGUUUAUCCGUCUUUACACCCCUCUGCGGUUUUCCCAACAUCAAACUCAACAGGUGCAGCAGCAACCCCACGUCACAUUUUCAGUUUUAUAGAAAGUGUGAGUUCAGUUUCCCUGGGGAAGAAAUAUAUUACCUGGUCAGGAAGUUCUGACUCAAGACUCUUUGAGAGAGAAUUUUUUGUUGUUGUUCAAGAUCUGUGGCUAUCACCUACCUUUGGCACAUACCUUCUCACCAUGUAAUGGUGAAAUGGAGGUACUAAAGGUUCUUUGAGGGAGACACUCAACAAGUGUAAUCACCAUUUUCUAGGUCUGGAUAUUUCCCACAAAAAAGACAUCUACCUCAGGAAACUAGUAUGCACUGUUGACCCUCUGUGGAUAAUUUGGUAAAGAGGCAGGGUCUGACUAGAAUAGCUGGAUCAGUAGACAAUGUUGAUGAGGACGAGAGAAUUGUUGAAGACAUACACAGGGGCGGUGAGCUGGCAAUGACCUAUGUUACAAACUACAACCCACCCCUUCCAUUUGUGGAGGGAAGGGGGCAGGGCUGAGACAGGACAGUGUCUUGCUACAUAUGUACACUGAUGGCCGGAGUGACACCUUUGGGAAGAAGGAUGAUCUUCUCAUGAUGGAAUAAUACAACCAAUACAACCCAUGCCCCAGCUUGAUUUUGCUUGCUUUUGUUCUCAUUGUAAAAUAUGUAAAUAUUGACAGUGAUGAAAAAGAAAAAUCAGCAGCAGUCAGCCAGCCAGUGAAUUACGCUGCCGCUUUGCUAAUGUGAAUGCUUGUGUAGAAGCCGAAAAGGAAGAUUGGACAUGUAAAUCUUUUAAAUCGUAUUUUAUAUGAAGCAAAUGUGAUGCCAGUUGGCAUGGAUGCCAGUAUUAAUUGUUGGGAUGCACUUUUUUUUGUUUCAACAUGUCUUCCUGGGAGGCUGACCUCUGCCUCUCUUUGGACUAGUGAGAAGGCGGGGGAGGGGCAGGGUGUGUGUGUGUGUUGGGGGGGGGGGAGGGGAGAAGGCACGUCUGGACCUGGUUGCCACAGAGACAUGGGCAUCAUGGGAGUGCUGGGAAAUAUCACCCCCCUUCAGAGGCACGUGGGGGAGGGAGGGAGAGGGGAGAAGGGAGGGGGGAGGGGGGUGGUUACAUAACAGUCCCAGAAGAUCACAGAGUCCUGUUUAUUGUGGCUGAGGCACGAGACCACACUCUGUUUCCUACGCAGAGUCCUUUCCACAUGACCACAGGAAAUUAGGCUCAGGCUCGGAAGCGUCAAUGAUCCUGCAAGCACUUCAGUCAUUACACGCCAAUCCCUUCCUCCCCUACCAUCCUGGACUGACAAUAUGGAUCACUAUACUGUUUGAGCUUCAUGGCGACCAGUAUUAGUAAACCCCUUAUCCCUGUCACUAACCGGACCGCUUUCACAGCCCCCCGCGUGAACUGCACCAGAACAUAGGGGGCGCCAGAUAGCGGGGCCCAAUUUCAAACGCAAGGGGUACCAGAGAUAUGAAGGAAUUUACACACUGGCUGGGCCUGGAGUGGGCUAUUUUACCUCCUAGGAUUAAACCUGUCACAGGCCGUUUCCCAUGGAAAAGGAGGAGGUGUGGACAGUUGGAAUUGUGGUGGACAGUUUUAAGGAAGCUUCAACAAGAUCAAACAAAUCUCUCUGUGCUGUCUCCCUGCAUCUCACCCCACCUGUGAACCACAGGACAACGAGGCACUGUUGAGCUCGAAAGGGAACUGGUGUCCAUCUCACAGGAAAUCCCUGAGGUUGUGUGACAUGCUUACUACCUGGGCGGUUGGCGGUUUUCACACAAUUAACGCACACACAUAUGCACUCUGGCAGAACCAUGCAGAAACACACACACUGACAGACAGACAGACACACACACAAAGAAAAAUAAAAUAUUAGAAAGCUGUCGUUUUGUAUCAGUCUUGCUUUGCAAUAAUUUGAAUCCCACAAUACCUAUUUGAAGACAGUGAUUGCCAAUGUCCCCAGUGGACCGCUGGCUUAAAUCUUACAGAUAUUGCACUAAGCGUUUACUGUGGAUGGUUCAGUGGGAACACAGUAUGAGCAUUUCUCAUUUACGUUGCACUGUUUUGUAGAUUAGGAUUAUAGGUGUUGCUUUGUGUUUCACAUUAUUCAAAGCAGACCGUUGUGGGUGGCCUGUCUUGUUUUUGUAAACCACGCUGUACUUUAUGAGCUGAGUCACGAUGUUCGUCCGACAGUGUUUGUACCAAGCGAACACACGACCAGGUAUCAAAACACUGAAAAGGGAAAAGAUGUUGAUUUCGUUAGAGAACAUCCAGAAACAAAUAGCACUGUUUAUUAAUUGUGGACUAGGGUGUUUGUGUGAGGAAAAUCAAAAGGAAAGAAAAACUAAAAGGGAGGUGUUGAGUGUUGGACACCACCCAUGGUGCCCUAUGUGCCUGAGACUUCCUAAUGUGCCAAUUUGAUAUAAUGGUUAAUAAUAGUUACAUCUUCACUUGUUUUUAUUAUUUUUUUUACCAGAAAAGAACACAAGGGACCCUUUGCUCAUGAUCAUGUGGUGGUUGCAUUUGUAUUUGUGAUACAGGAUAUGCACCAGCUGUUUGAGGUUUACGGUUUAUAUUUUGUGGAUACUUUUUGUUCAGUUUGUACAAUAUCCAUGUUUUACGUUUUCAUGUUAUUUUUCUUUUUUUUCUUUGUUUUGGGUGGGAGGUGGUGUUGUUGGGUUGGGUAAAACUGAAACCAACUCUUUUUAAUGAAUAUGAAUUUCACGGCACAGAAGGUGCCCUCUCAAUGUGUACAUUUCUUUAAAAGAAGCCAUUCCAUCGACCUGACACGGUGAUGUGUAGGGCAAUGCUUUCCAUUGUAGCCUACACCAUGAUUCCUUUCUAUAGGUCUGCUUAAUUUAUGAUGCUUUUGGUAUUUUUAAGUAAAAAUUAUAUAAUUAUUAAUCUACUCAAAAUAUUCAUUUUUUAAAAAGGAGUAUGUGCUAACUUGCUGUACUGAUUAUGAACUGAUUAAGAAAAGGAAAUUAAAAUGAUGGUACGGUCUGCAGUACUGUACAUGCACAGAAUUGCAUUAACUGAAGUAGAAAUGUUAUUUACAUAUUUCCAAUCUAAAUUAAAGAUAUAUUUCCUGUAUUUUCACAUAAAUUACCAUAUUUUCUCA